rnacentral:lncRNA from 1 species
AAAGCUGAGGGCAGAUUUAGAGGUGUUGAGCUGGGAGUGAAGGUAAGGGCACAUUAUCUGCGGGAGGCUUAGAAGUGCCCAGCCAUUGAGCUAAAAAGUAUACUAAAAAUAAGCUUGUGUGUGUGUGUGUGUGUCUGUGUGUCUGUGUGUAUGUGUGUGUGUCUGUGUGUGUGUAUGUCAGUGUGUGUCUGUGUGUCUGUGUCUGUGUGUGUCUGUGUGUCUGUGUGUAUGUGUGUCUGUGUGUGUGUAUGUCA